rnacentral:rRNA from 1 species
AUUGAACGCUGGCGGAAUGCUUACACAUGCAAGUCGAACGGCAGCACGGACUUCGGUCUGGUGGCGAGUGGCGAACGGGUGAGUAAUGUAUCGGAACGUGCCCAGUCGUGGGGGAUAACGUAGUGAAAAUUACGCUAAUACCGCAUACGAUCUAUGGAUGAAAGCGGGGGAUCGCAAGACCUCGCGCGAUUGGAGCGGCCGAUAUCAGAUUAGGUAGUUGGGGGGGUAAAGGCCCACCAAGCCAACGAUCUGUAGCUGGUCUGAGAGGACGACCAGCCACACUGGAACUGAGACACGGUCCAGACUCCUACGGGAGGCAGCAGUGGGGAAUUUUGGACAAUGGGCGAAAGCCUGAUCCAGCCAUUCCGCGUGCAGGAUGGAGGCCCUCGGGUUGUAAACUGCUUUUGUACGGAACGAAACGGCCCUUUCUAAUACAGGGGGCUAAUGACGGUACCGUAAGAAUAAGCACCGGCUAACUACGUGCCAGCCGCCGCAGUAA